rfam:Perkinsus marinus ATCC 50983 gcontig_1104296780014, whole genome shotgun sequence.
GCCUUCUCAGCUUAGUUGGUAGAGCACCCGCUUAGUAAGCGGGAGGUCGUCGGUUCAACUCCGGCAGAAAGCU